UAGACCGUGAAGAUGGUGGCGGCGGCGGUGGAUCUCGCCUCACCUCGCGGUCCACGGUGGCGGAGGUGCGUCGCGUCGGAGGAUGGCUGGAGGCGUUGAUACGCAUGCCACCCGCAGCAUAGCAUCCCGUACGCGACUAGGGCUAGCCUGCUUUGUUGUGUUGCAGCCACUGUCAGCCGUCUCAGAUCCACAAGGCUGUCAUUAUGUACAAUUAUUACCACCAAAACUCUUCCUCAAGUCGCUUCCUGUUGAAGAAGAUUUGCUCACGCACUUGAGUAUGCUCUGUAAGCGUGAGAGCAAGCCUGAGAACAGUGGGAGGUUAUAUACUUGUGACAAAGCAGCAGUACAGGCUUGUGAGAUCGCUGAAGGACUCGACGCGAGCAAAGAUUCUCCAGACAUGGCAGCGUGGCCAAUCUCGAAAGUUGCUGUGCUUCUUCUCGACCCGGAAAGAAAAAAAAAUGUUUGAUUGGACAGACCCAGGGUGUCUGGUCAUUCAUAGAGAAGGAAUUUGAUGAAGCAUCCAGUAGCAAUAGGAUAGCAGUCCAGAAAUCGGCGAAUAAUCGAACCUGUGUUGCGGUGGACGGAGCAGAUACGCCUCAGGAACUAGCAUUGUCAGAAGUGGAGCGUAGAACAGGUAUGAAGGCCUUAAACUUGCGUGUUAUCGAAACUUUUUUGGCAUACUCACUGAGUAAAGAAAGGACUACUACCAAGUUGUUCCUUGUGGAGUAUGAGCAAGCAAUGAAAGGCAACCUUGUGGAAAUUUCUUUAGAAGACUUGAUUACCAGUAUGACUGGUCCGGUCUUUGCAAAUCAUCAAUUCCUGAAAAUAACUUCUCUUGUUGAGUACUAUCACAUUCUUCCAUAUAAAGAUGUUUUGUCUGAACUCCUGCACAGGAAAUGGCCAGAAACACUAACUGUCCCUACAACGAUGAACGGUGCUUUGCCAUGGCAGAAUAUGGAAGUAUUGGAAAAGUCAGGCACUUUCUCCGAAAACGUGAGUGAUCUGGUGGAAUCACUGCGGCUAAUUCAGAAAAUACGGGAUGAUAUUGUGUGUUACAUGCCUUCUUUUUCAUUUCAGAAAAAUGUAUGCUUGUUCCGUAUAAUUUUGCCUCUAGUUUAGAAGUGAGGUGAAUUCAUCCCAUCUUCUGUUUUGUUUCAGCUCUGCAAGGAACACAUACUUCAAAACCAAAGUGCUGAGUGUGAUAUGGACAUUCAGAGAAUCCGGAAUGAAGGGCUGAUGACAGCAAAAGUGUUGUCAGACAAGUAUAAGAAUGGUUUCCCAAAGAUGGAAGUUGCGACUUCGUCUUGCUCUGGAGAUGGCGGUCGCCCAAAGAAGAAGACACUGAGGGCGAGCCUUGAAUUCAGGAAAUACGUGGAGCUUGAUGAGAUCUGCCGUGAUUGCUACUGUAUAUCUCCAAGAUACACAGUAUUACCUUCAAUAACAGAUGGAACGUACACCGCCAGUGUACGUCUUAGAUGCCCUGAUGCUAAGAUGACCAUCUAUGGAGGCCCUCACGAGACCCCACUCGAGGCGAGGUGCUCUGCAGCUGCCAAUAUGAUACAGGAGCUUUGCAAGGCGUAGGAAACAGGAGAGCAGGAUACCUGAUGGGAAGGUUCUAGUUGGGGACUGCCAGGAGGUGAAGCCUGGGAAUGCGUUCUGCUCUAUGAGUUUGUAUUUUUGUUGCGUUGGGCACAUGCGUGUCAGCCCAUGUGCUCAACGAAUUAUCAUUGUUUUGUUAAGUUUCCCUUUUGUUUGGAAACUUUGUAUUCAAACUUUG